GACGAACGCUGGCGGCGUGCUUCAUACAUGCAAGUCGAACGAGAAGCUGACUUCGGUCAGUGGAAAGUGGCGGCCGGGUGCGUAAUAUUUAGGAAAUCUGCCUUUACGAGUGGGACAACAGAGGGAAACUUCUGCUAAUACCCCAUAUGAGCGUAGCUGACAUCCUAUUCUUGAAAACUCCGGUGCCUAAAUAUGAGCCUGCAUCUGCUUAGCUCGUUGUUAGUGUAAUGGUCUACCAAGGCGACGAUCAGUAGCUGGUUUGAGAGGAUGAUCAGCCACAAUGGGACGGAGACACGGAGCAGACUACUACGGGAGGCAGCAGUAGGGAAUUUUGCGCAAUGGGCGAAAGCAUGACGCAGCAACGGCGCGUGAAAGAUUAAGCCCUGCGAGGUAUAAAGUUCUGUCAGAGGGGACGAAACUUGACGGUACCCAAAGAGGAAGCAACGGCUAACUCCGUG
rnacentral:rRNA from 1 species